UUAAGUUCAGCGGGUAGUCCUACCUGAUUUGAGGUCAAGAUGUUAUUAAAAUAGUGUCCAACUGAAGGACGGUUAUAAGCAGAUUCCCAUAAAGUUUGCUUCGAAGUCCUACGGCAUAGAUAAUUAUCACACCGAGAGACGGUCCACAAGAGAUUCCGCUAAUGCAUUUAAAGGGAGCAGACCAUCCACUGAAGGAAGCC
rnacentral:misc_RNA from 1 species